GACGAACGCUGGCGGCGUGCUUAACACAUGCAAGUCGAACGGUGAACGAGGGAGCUUGCUCCCUCCGGAUCAGUGGCGAACGGGUGAGUAACACGUGAGCAAUCUGCCCCGAACUCUGGGAUAAGCGUUGGAAACGACGUCUAAUACCGGAUACGACGCGGGAGGGCAUCCUCUCCGCGUGGAAAGAACUUCGGUUCGGGAUGAGCUCGCGGCCUAUCAGCUUGUUGGUGAGGUAACGGCUCACCAAGGCGACGACGGGUAGCCGGCCUGAGAGGGUGACCGGCCACACUGGGACUGAGACACGGCCCAGACUCCUACGGGAGGCAGCAGUGGGGAAUAUUGCAAAAUGGGCGAAAGCCUGAUGCAGCAACGCCGCGUGAGGGACGACGGCCUUCGGGUUGUAAACCUCUUUUAGCAGGGAAGAAGAGAAAGUGACGGUACCUGCAGAAAAAGCACCGGCUAACUACGUG
rnacentral:rRNA from 1 species